GGCAUGUUUAAAAAUCAUUUUGACUAAAGUAAAUAUGCAUUAUCUAAAAUUAUUUUGCUCUAAAUUAAAUAUGCAUGAUUUGUUAAAAAUAUUUUUAUGAGAGAAGCCAAGUCUUAUGUUUAAGUUGUCGGAUCAAGAUCACAAUUAAAUACCGACUCAUAUAAAACUUAAUCUCGAUCUUUGUCUUGUGCUUGAAUCUCGUUAUAUAU
rnacentral:lncRNA from 1 species